rnacentral:rRNA from 1 species
AGUCGAGGGGCAGCACGAAUUAGCUUGCUAAUUUGGUGGCGACCGGCGCACGGGUGCGUAACGCGUAUGCAACCUACCUUAUACAGGAGUAUAGCCCGGAGAAAUUCGGAUUAAUCCUCCAUGGUACUGAGACACCGCAUGGUGCUUCAGUUAAAGCUUCGGCGGUAUAAGAUGGGCAUGCGUCCUAUUAGCUAGAUGGUAAGGUAACGGCUUACCAUGGCUACGAUAGGUAGGGGGCCUGAGAGGGUGGUCCCCCACACUGGUACUGAGACACGGACCAGACUCCUACGGGAGGCAGCAGUGAGGAAUAUUGGUCAAUGGGCGCAAGCCUGAACCAGCCAUGCCGCGUGCAGGAAGAAUGCCCUAUGGGUUGUAAACUGCUUUUAUUUGGGAAUAAACCUUUCUACGUGUAGGAAGCUGAAGGUACCAAAUGAAUAAGCACCGGCUAACUCCGUGCCAGCAGCCGCGGUAAUACGGAGGGUGCAAGCGUUAUCCGGAAUCAUUGGGUUUAAAGGGUCCGCAGGCGGAUUUAUAAGUCAGUGGUGAAAGCCUACAGCUUAACUGUAGAACUGCCAUUGAAACUGUAAGUCUUGAAUUCGGUCGAAGUGGGCGGAAUGUGUAGUGUAGCGGUGAAAUGCAUAGAUAUUACACAGAACACCGAUAGCGAAGGCAGCUCACUAGGCCUGGAUUGACGCUCAGGGACGAAAGCGUGGGGAUCAAACAGGAUUAGAUACCCUGGUAGUCCACGCUGUAAACGAUGAUUACUCGUUUUCGGCGAUAUACAGUCGGAGACUAAGCGGAAGUGAUAAGUAAUCCACCUGGGGAGUACGAUC